GGAGCAGGAAACGUAAAUUUGUAGUCCUUACGGGCGUAGAAAAAAGCAGGAAACCUGGCGUAAAUCAAAAUAAGCAAGGCGUAAAUUGAAAUAAGUAAGGCGUAAAUUUUCUUACGGGCGUAAAACUGUUGGUAUGGCGUAAAUAGAAAUACCCAUAAUGCUUUGUUUAAAGGAUAAUGGGAUUUUUUUUUCAAAAUUUGGCUCUUUGGUUUUAGUUUGCAAGAGUUGGACACAUGGCAGCUUCAUAUAUUCAGGGAUAAUUUGCUUGUUUUGUGCUUUUUGGAAGAAUCUGAAAUUGGAAAUACUGAAUCAUAUAAAUUAAUGAAAAUUGUGAAAUAAAAGGAAAGAAGUAAUACAUGGUAAAUAAUAAUAAUGUGAGUAUAA
rnacentral:lncRNA from 1 species